AUGUCAUGAUUUGCGGAAUUGCCGUUGGACAAAUGUUCUUGAGAAAUCUUGCUAUCUUAAUGCUGUAGGUUCAGUUGCUUGACAUUUACUAUACACUUUUUUUUUUGUUUAAUCUGCAUUGACAAUAGAGAUAAUAUUCAAUAAUUUCCCACUUAGAUUGAAAAUGAUAAUCUGAUUGCCUACGGCCUGAUCCCAGAAUUCAUUGGAAGGUUGCAAAUAAUAGUUGGCCUGACUCAUCUCAGUGAAGAGCAAUUGAUCCGGUUAGGAAAUUUAUUUGCAUAAGUUUGUAAUUUAGUGCAAAUAUUUCUUACAAUCACCUCUAUCUUUUAAUUAUUUGCCUCUAGAAGGAUCUUCACAUCUUAUUCUAUUCUACUAGUUGGUUCUGCAUUUUUCUUUUUCUUCCCAAGAGGACCACAAUCUCAAAACUCUAGCUAAUUCUCUUUUCAGGUGCUUAGGGAGCCCAAAAACGCAAUAGGAAAGCAAAACAAGAAGCUGUUCAAAAUGAAUGAUGUUAAGCUGCAUGUUUCUGAAGAUGCUUUGCGGCUAAUAGCAAAGAAGGCAGCUGCAAAAGAAACGGGAGCUCGACGCCUACUGUCUGUAAUGGAGUACAUUUUGACAGAAGCAAUGUUUGAGAUUCCUGAUGCAAGAGAGGGGAAAGAGAAUAAUUGCUGUUCUUGUUGAUGAAGAGUACGUACGGCCGCUACACCGUCGAGGGUGCGGAGCCAAAUUUUUGCGUGAUGAUGGAGCAUUGGAACUGUAUAUUUAUCAGAAUAAUAUCAAACUGCCCGGUCUAAUUCAGAGCAACCCCAGACGCAGUCGCAUUCCCCCUCUCUGCCUUCUAGUAGCUUUGUCAGCAACAAAGCUUUGGAUUUACCAGACAUUCCAUUGUUUUUCCUCGAUAUAUGAAUGGAUUGUAUUGAUGCUGUGCGUGGCAAACAUUUUUACAACAACAACAACAACAAAGCCUUUCAGUCCCAAACAAGUUAGGGUAGGCUAGAGAUGAAAUCCAAUGAAAUAUA